GAAAUGCGAUAAGUAAUGUGAAUUGCAGAAUUCAGUGAAUCAUCGAAUCUUUGAACGCACCUUGCGCUCCUUGGUAUUCCUUGGAGCAUGCCUGUUUGAGUAUCAUGAAAUCUUCAAAGUAAAUCUUUUGUUAACUCAAUUGGUUUCUACUUUGGUAUUGGAGGUCUUUGCAGCUUCACACCUGCUCCUCUUUGUUCAUUAGCUGGAUCUCAGUGUUAUGCUUGGUUCCACUCGGCGUGAUAAGUUAUCUAUCGCUGAGGACACUGUAAAAGGUGGCCAAGGUAAAUUCAGAUGAACCGCUUCUAAUAGUCCAUUGACUUGGACAAUACUUUUAUGAUCAGAUCUCAAAUCAGGUAUGACUACCCGCUGAACUUAAGC
rnacentral:misc_RNA from 1 species